AUGCACUUCAUGGUUGAAAAUCAUAGUGGUAGAUUUACAAAAGUUUUGAAUGAUCAAAACCCACUGUCUUCGUCAACUCUUCAAAUCUCAAUUCCACUUCCUUCCUUCGUUGCCGUCGCGAUCCUCUCUAAUCGCAGCUUCGAACUUUGCGAAUCGCUGAGCUGUGAACGCGCUUCAUUUGUCUCUGCGAUUCCUCAAGGAUUCAAGGAUUAA